ACAGGGUCUUUGCAGAUGUAAUCAAGUUUAAAUGAAGUCACAGUGAGUUAGCGUGGGCUCUAAUCCAAUGACUGGUGCCCUUAUAAAGGAGAGGAGGUUUAGUCACAGAGAGAGGAGAACACCAUGUUACAAUGGAAACAGACUGCAGUGAUAUGUCCACCUGCCGAGGCACGCCAAGGACUGUCAGCAAUCUGCAGGAGCCGGGAGAACAGGUCAGAAGGAACUAACCCUGACAACACUUCGAUUCAGGAACCUCUAGCCUCCCAAACUGAAAAUGAUCAUCUCUUCGGGGAAUGAUUGUCAGUAAGUCACUGGAUUUCUUGAGCAAUACGUAAAAGUUUUGGCCAAUGGCAAGAGAAAAAUGUUAUCAGUGGUUGCAAAGUUCAGAUAAUUUUAUCACCAAGUGGAUUAAACCAUAUUAUGAUAACCAAAA